GAUGAACGCUGGCGGCGUGCCUAACACAUGCAAGUCGAGCGAUCUUCUUCGGAAGAGAGCGGCGGACGGGUGAGUAACGCGUGGGUAACCUGCCCUGUACGCACGGAUAACAUACCGAAAGGUAUGCUAAUAUGAGAUAAUAUGCUUUUAUCGCAUGGUAGAAGUAUCAAAGCUCCGGCGGUACAGGAUGGACCCGCGUCUGAUUAGCUAGUUGGUAAGGUAAUGGCUUACCAAGGCGACGGUCAGCAGCCGACCUGAGAGGGUGAUCGGCCACAUUGGAACUGAGACACGGUCCAAACUCCUACGGGAGGCAGCAGUGGGGAAUAUUGCACAAUGGGCGAAAGCCUGAUGCAGCAACGCCGCGUGAGCGAUGAAGGCCUUCGGGUCGUAAAGCUCUGUCCUCAAGGAAGAUAAUGACGGUACUUGAGGAGGAAGCCCCGGCUAACUACGUGCCAGCCGCCGCCGUAA
rnacentral:rRNA from 1 species